CCUACGGGUGGCUGCAGUAGGGAAUUUUCGGCAAUGGGGGGAACCCUGACCGAGCAACGCCGCGUGAACGAAGAAGUUAUUCGUAAUGUAAAGUUCUUUUAACGGGGAAGAAAGAGAAAUUUGACGGUACCUGAAGCAUAUGCUCCGUCUAACUACGUGCCAGCAGCCGCGGUAAUACGUAGGGAGCGAGCGGUAUCCGGAAUUGUUGGGCGUAAGGGGUGCGUAGAUGGCAUAGUAAGUCUGUUGUAAAAAUGCUGGGCUAAACCCAGUAGGGCAAAAGAUACUGCAAAGCUAGAGUAUGACAGAGGCAAGUGGAACUAGAGGUGUAGCGGUAAAAUGCGUAAAUAUAUGUAAGAACACCAGUGGCGAAGGCGGCUUGCCGGGUCGAUACUGACAUUGAGGCACGAAAGCGUGGGGAGCAAACAGGAUUAGAUACCCGUGUAGUC
rnacentral:rRNA from 1 species